GGGGUUGUAGCUCAGUGGUAGAGUGCUUGCCUAGUAUGUGUGAGUCACUGGGUUCAAUUCUCAGCACCA
rnacentral:tRNA from 1 species